UUUUGGGGGACGGUGACUUGAAGAGGGGAUUGUUGAACCAAUUGGUUUUGGUGGUCUUUCACUUGAAGGAUGAUGAGAUCCAGUUGGUUUUGGUGGUCGUUGACUUAAAGGUUGAGGAUGGAGAGAGUCAGUUGGUUUUGGAGGUGGUUGACUUGAUUUAAAAUUUUUUGUUCAUUAAUAUCAUUAUAAUAGUGAUUAUAUUUUAUG